rnacentral:rRNA from 1 species
GACGAACGCUGGCGGCGUGCUUAACACAUGCAAGUCGAACGGAAAGGCCCUGCUUUUGUGGGGUGCUCGAGUGGCGAACGCGUGAGUAACACGUGAGUAACCUGCCCUUGACUUUGGGAUAUCUUCAGGAAACUGGGGCUAAUACCGGAUAGAAGCUCCUGAUGCAUGGUGGGGGUUGGAAAGUUUCGGCGGUUGGGGAUGGACUCGCAGCUUAUCAGCUUGUUGGUCGGGUAGUGGCGUACCAAGGCUUUGACGGGUAGCCUGCCUGGGAGCGUGACCGGCGACAAGAGUACUACGAGAGGCAGCAGUAGGCAACGGGACGCAGCAGGCGAGAACAUGACGGAACGGGCGGAAGUCUGUGGCAGCGACGUUGCGAUCGGGAUAACGUGUUACGGGGGAAAAACCGAUUUGGCCGGUAACGAAGAGGGAGUGACGGUAAUGGGUAAAAAAGCACCGGCUAACUACGUG